rnacentral:tRNA from 1 species
ACUUGAAUAUCUUAUGUUUAGAGUAUAACAUUGAAGAUGUUAUUGAGGUUAUUUACCUUCAGGUA